AACGGUCUAUACCUGCGGUACCUGCGGAAGGAUCAUUAUCGAAUGCAAUAUGGGGAUGUUGCUGGCCAAAAUCUCAAUGGCAAUGUGCACUCCUCUAUUCAAACAUCCAACCUGUGCACACCGAGUAGGCCCAUAGAUUUGGUUCUAUGGUCCUAUGUUUCCAUAUACACAAGUGAAAGAUUGUACUAUGAUUGUAAAAAAAGUUUUUACAACUUUCAGCAACGGAUCUCUAGAUCGGAA
rnacentral:misc_RNA from 1 species